UAUACGUAUUUUUGAUGAAAAUGUGGUAUUGAACUCGAAUUAAAAACUUAAAACCAGAUGCGCAUUUUUCUAGUAUCAAAACCAGUUAUCAAUACUCCGGCUAUUUACUACAAUACCAGAUGUACCAGCUGUGCUAGGACAAUACAAAAAUAAGACAAAUAGAAUACGUAUUGCAUACGUCUUGUACCGGCUGGGGGGAACCCAUGAUAAAUUUUCAUUGCGAGAUGACGAUACUGAUUUCGAUCCAAAUUAUGAAUAAGAAAGUCCAGAUUCUGAAGACUCUAACUCAAGUGGACAUCAAAGAGACUCAAGUGGCCUUCAAAGAAAUGAAGAUGAUGAGCUCGGAGAUGACCCAGACAACCCACCACCAAAAAGAGCGAAACAUCCUGGACGUAAAAAAACGAGAAGAUAAACGUAUGGAAAAGAAACAUUUCUCAUAAAAAACGCAACAAAGGUGAAUCUUAUAUCGAUAGAAAAGGUAUCCACCAUGAAAAGAAGCAAGUAAGAGAAUGUAUUCAUAAUUGUAAGUUUAAGUGCAAUGACAGAGUCAGUGAAGAAGAAAGGCAAAACAUUUUCAAACAAUAUUGGGAACUUGGAAGCUGGGAGCUCCAAUCUGCCUAAAUUCAUCAAUCAAAGUAGAAAAACCUCGAAGGAAUAAAAAAACCGGACCACGAUCAAAAAUUUUGAGUUGCCAAUUUUUUUUCCUUCCAAAAAAUUCUUUCUCUGUACUCUUGAUGUAACAAACAAACGAGUAACAAAUGUAAUUGAUAAGAAGAAGAAUUCUACCACUGGAAUUGCUCCUUGGGACAAAAGAGGACACAAAGUUCCUGGAAAUAAGAUUUGUGAAGAAAAAAUUGAAUUUGUGAAAGAGCAUAUUCGUACUUUUCCAAAAUACACAAGCCAUUACUCUCGCACUCAUGCUCUAAAUUGAAAGUACCUAAGUUCCAAUUUGAACAUCAAAAGGUUGUACAACCUCUACAAAGAAAGCUGCAUUGAACAUGCAGUAGAGGCAGUGAAAGAAAGCUACCAUCGUAAUUUCUUUAAUAUUGAAUUUAACCUGAGCUUUCAUAAACCGCAAACUGACCCUUGCAUCACAUGUGACAGACUUCAGAACACGAUUGAUAAUGGGCUGCCAGAUGAACAAAACGAUGCUGUUAUACAAAAGGAGUUACAUCUGCGGAAAGCAGAUUUGGCAAGGCAACAAAUAACGGACGCUAAAAAAGCUGUUAAGGGUGAUGCUAGUCAAUUAGUGAUUUGUUUUGACCUGCAAAAGAUGUUACCGUCUCCAGUUUUGACU